rnacentral:pre_miRNA from 8 species
UUGCUCUCUAGACAGGAUAUCAUCGUAUACUGUAAGUUCAUUAUUGAGACACUACAGUAUAGAUGAUGUACUAUCCAGGGGGUCAA